rnacentral:rRNA from 1 species
UACGUAGGGUGCAAGCGUUGUCCGGAAUUAUUGGGCGUAAAGGGCUCGUAGGCGGCCAACUAAGUCCGACGUGAAAUCCCAAGGCUUAACCUUGGAACUGCGUCGGAUACUGGUUGGCUUGAAUUCGGGAGAGGGAUGCAGAAUUCCAGGUGUAGCGGUGAAAUGCGUAGAUAUCUGGAGGAAUACCGGUGGCGAAGGCGGCAUCCUGGACCGACAUUGACGCUGAUGAGCGAAAGCUAGGGGAGCAAACAGG